AUGGCGAGCUUGUUACAACUGUUUAAUGAUUGGGAGAUCCAACUGCUUGUCCUUCUCAGCUUCGUGCUACAGAUAUUCCUCUUCUUUACUGGCAGCCUUCGGCAACGUGGCGCCAAGUUUCUUAGUGGCAUUAUUUGGAUAGCUUAUUUGGUGGCAGACUUGGUAGCAGUUUAUGCCCUUGGUUUGCUAUCAAAACAAGACGACAACGCCAUAGCGCUGACAAAAAACCACCCAUUAGCUUUCUUUUGGCCGCCCUUCCUACUCAUUCAUCUUGGUGGACAGGACACCAUCACAGCUUUUUCCUUGGAGGACAACCGCUUGUGGUUGAGGCAUUUGUUGAAUUUGAUAGUUCAAGUGGUCCUAGCAUUGUAUGUCUUCUCAAAGUACAUUGCUGGGCGCAAUGCGCAGCUUCUUGUUCCGGGCAUCUUUAUGUUUGUUGCUGGAAUCAUCAAGUAUGGGGAGAGGACGAUGGCUCUCAUGUACGGGAACCUACAAAACAUAAGUGGCUACAACAAUAGUGAAGAAAGUAAGCUGAACCAGCAUCAAGAACUAGAUCAAGAUGCUAGCUUCUCUAGCAUUGUUUGCUUUUCCUUGGAUUCAGCGCCAAUCAUUCGGCAUUUAUUUGCUGGAUUUACGCUCUUCCAGAUACCACAAGGCUUCUGUGCAGCAACUUGGACGAGUUAUGCCCGGUCAGGUGAAGUUCAAUUGUCCAAGCUGGUCAAGUUGGUUGACGUCGAACUUGGUAUCAUGUAUUGUGAUGUCUAUACCAAGGCGGCAAUGCUUCGGACAAGAAGCGGGAUUAUACUUCGAUGCACAUCUCAAGUGUCGGCUUUGGUUGCCCUUGUGCUCUUCAUAGUUGGUGACAAAGAGAGAUACAACAGGGCCGACGUUGCAAUCACCUACAUGUUAUUCAUGGGGAGCUUUUUACUGGAAGUUCUUGCAAUGUUUAUGAUGGUCAUGGUGUCACCUUGGACAUGGGCAUGGCUGAAGGCCAGGAAGUGUGUUUGGCUCACUCGCGUGUCCUGGACGCUUGUCUCCAAUAAUAUUGUUGGAUGGCCGGAGGAGAAGCCGCUGUGGUCAAACCGCAUAGGGCAGUACAACUUUCUGAGCUAUGUGGGCUGCGAGGAAAACCCAAGGAGCCCGUCCAUGUCGGAACGAGUGAUGGGCAUGAGUAGGAAGAUGGCAAAAGCAGUUGGCGCUGGAGAGGACAGGUUGUUUUGGUUGAGCAAGGUAUUAGACGCCAAGUACGAGGAGGUGGAUAAGGAUAUCACAGAGAGCUUUGUGAAAGAGAUUAGAGUCAUUCUCCAGUCCCCUUUUGGAGGCCAAAAACGACAGUGGCAACAUCUCAGUCGGUUCCUGCGUAGUAUGGCAAGAGAAUUGUCUGACAAUUUUAGUGCUGUCAUAAUCCGUUUGAAUAUAUCAACAAUAAUACACCUGAGUGAGGUUUCAAGCGUGGACGCGGAGAUAGCUGCCUUGGUUGGUGUCUGCCGGAAACUAUCCAAUUAUAUGAUGUACCUUCUUGUUACACACCCAGUUAUGCUGCAGGUCACUGCUAGCAGUGCCAAAUCAGUGCUACAAGGCUUCCGUAAGAAGUUUAUGAUGAUGGCAGGCAGCAUCAGCAUCAGCAACAGCAAGCAUGGUGUUGUUCUGCAAAAUCUGAAAGAGUUCUUAUCCAAGGAGGAUUCUGCCUUGUCUUUACCAGAACCAUGCAAAGAAACACUGGAGGAGAUGAGAGACAUGUGGGUGAGGAUCAUCAUGUACGCUGCAAGCAGGUCGCGGCCCGAGACGCACGCGACCCAGCUGGCCAGAGGAGGGGAGUUCCUUACCUUCAUCUGGCUGCUCAUGGCACACAAGAAUCUUGGGGCUUCCGCGGCCUUUCCCAUCGACCUUAUUAGUCCACCUACUACUUUUGGACCUCACAUUGAUGUGCGAUUUUACGCCUUUGAUUUUCGCUGA
rnacentral:rRNA from 1 species